rnacentral:rRNA from 1 species
CAGCCGCCGCGGUAAUACGUAGGUGGCAAGCGUUGUCCGGAAUUAUUGGGCGUAAAGGGCUCGCAGGCGGUUUCUUAAGUCUGAUGUGAAAGCCCCCGGCUCAACCGGGGAGGGUCAUUGGAAACUGGGAAACUUGAGUGGAGAAGAGGAGAGUGGAAUUCCACGUGUAGCGGUGAAAUGCGUAGAGAUGUGGAGGAACACCAGUGGCGAAGGCGACUCUCUGGUCUGUAACUGACGCUGAGGAGCGAAAGCGUGGGGAGCGGACAGGAUUAGAUACCCGUGUAGUCCCUGUCUCUUAUAU